AAAAGAAACCAACAGGGAUUGCCCCAGUAACGGCGAGUGAAGCGGCAACAGCUCAAAUUUGAAAUCUGGCUCCUCGGGGCCCGAGUUGUAAUUUGUAGAGGAUGCUUCUGGCGAGGCGCCGCCUGAGUUCCCUGGAACGGGACGCCAUAGAGGGUGAGAGCCCCGUCUGGCUGGCCGCCGAGCCUCUGUGAAGCUCCUUCGACGAGUCGAGUAGUUUGGGAAUGCUGCUCAAAACGGGAGGUAUAUGUCUUCUAAAGCUAAAUAUUGGCCAGAGACCGAUAGCGCACAAGUAGAGUGAUCGAAAGAUGAAAAGCACUUUGAAAAGAGGGUUAAACAGUACGUGAAAUUGUUGAAAGGGAAGCGCUUGCGACCAGACUCGGGCGCGGCGGAUCAUCCGGCGUUCUCGCCGGUGCACUCCGCCGUGCUCGGGCCAGCAUCGGUUCGCCUCGGGGGAGAAAGGCGUCGGGAAUGUGGCUCCUCCGGGAGUGUUAUAGCCCGGCGCGGAAUACCCUGGGGCGGACCGAGGACCGCGCGUUCUACGCAAGGAUGCUGGCGUAAUGGUCGCCAGCGACCCGUCU
rnacentral:rRNA from 1 species